UGGCUCAGUUGGUAGAGCAUGUGACUCUUGAUCUUGGGGUUGUGGGUUCAAGCCCCAC
rnacentral:tRNA from 1 species